GCGGGUAUAGCUCAAUGGUAGAGUCCCGGCUUCCCAAGCCGGUCGUGCGGGUUCGAUCCCCGUUACCCGCUCCA
rnacentral:tRNA from 1 species